GUCCUCCCUAAGCUCGUUCAAGGCAGCUGUUCUCUUUUUCCGGAGAAUGGGAGAGAACUGGUGAGAACAGAGAGGGUUUGUGUUGCCAGGGAAGGAACGGGAAGAAGUUCAGACGGAGAAGACAGUGUUGGUUGUAAUCUGGUAUCUAGCACUGAUAGAGCGCCUACUAUGUGCCAGGCCUGGAGUUCAGCACUUUGCAUCUCAUCGCCACAACCCUAAGAGGGAGGUGCUGAUUUUAUCCCCAGUUUGCAGAUGAAGAAACUGAGGCAGGCAGAAGCUAAGGCACUGGCCCUGCACCACACAUCUAAUCCCAAUCCCAGCAUUCUCUCCUCCUAGCUGCCAUUAUUUUUGAAAGUAAUUUGACAAAUUCAUUAAAAGAGAAAUAACAGAAAAUAAAACAAUAACAAGUCAUAGAAAUAUAAAAUAAAUAAAUAAAAGAUGAUAAAAAUGAAAUAUCAGGGGUGGGAGGGCCCUUUGGAUUCACUGAGUCCAACCUUCUCUCAACAGUCAGGGAAACUGAGGCUGAAGGGAGAGGGCUUCCACUCGGGUGUCCGGCCCAGAACUGGGGAGUUCUGUCUGAGCAGACCAACAAGGGAGGCGGAGAAUUCUGGGACGUCCCUCAGGCCAACGAGGGUGUCCCCUUGCUCUUUUUCAGAGAAAUCCGCAAACACCACGAAGCUCCAGCAUCCGGGGAAGGACGGCGCGAACUUGGGGCUCGCCGUCACCGUCGCCCUCAGCUGCCUGGGCCUGGGGGCCCUCCUUGUGGGCGGGGGCUUGGGCUACCUGCUGCUCACCGGGAGCUGGAGGAGAAAAGGUCCUGGGCCCAUAACAGCAAAACAGGACCUGGGAAGACACAUGUUCCAUAAACACGAGGCGGGUAAGAGCCCCGAGGGCCCCAAGGGCAGGGGUCCCGGCGUCUUGUCUUCUGGGCCCGGGGCUCCCGAGCCUCCCGUCAGCCCGUGCCUCUCCCUGUUCCCCGCUGCAGACAACAACCAGUACGAGGUGAGCCUUUCUCCCAGCCCCCUGAGGAGUCCCACGAGGGGUGCAGAGAGCAGUGGCCCCGAGCCGAGCCCCGUGGAGCCCCAGACCAGGAACCAGGAAGCCCAAGAGCACCACUAUGAGGAGCUGCAGGACCCAGACCCCGCUCCCUACUGUCAACUCUCGCCGACAGUCUGAGCCGGGACCCCCGCAGGGGGGACUGAGCCCGGAGCCGCCUCUGCAGAAGAAGGUCUGGGCCCGGGGUCCGGCCUCUGGCACUGCUGGGGAGGAGCGAGCUUGGCCAGAGUUCCAGGAGGCCACGGCCAAGUGCCAGCCCCUCCCCGCCUGCUUGUGCCUCGGUCUCAUUAAACAAGACUCUCCCGUCCCCUCGCUGGCCCCGGGGACCCUCCUGAGAGGGCGGGCGCCUUCUGGAACCGAGAGGAGGAGACCCCUGCCGGGAAGCUGGGAGCGGAACGUUCGGGCUCUCUGCCAAGACCCUGAGACUGGCAAGCCCUACCACAGGGCACCCGUGCCCUGUACCACCCACCUGAGCACACAGGAGGGCGCUCGUCUCCCCUCCUCACCUCCCGGCUGGGAAAUCACCUCCUGACCCUAGUUCCCCCUCUAGUAAACAGGGGGUGGAACUAGAUUGCAGGAGAGAAAGGAAUGUGCACUUAUUAAGUGCCUACUGUUUGCCAGCUGCUGUGGUAAGCACAUCUAUAAAGAUCUCCUCUGAUACGACCCAGAGAGGUAGGGGCUAGUAUGAUGCCCAUUUUACAGCUGAGGAACCGGAGGCAAACUGGGGUUGGUGGGGGUUUUUAAGUGAUUUGUCUGCCUCCGAUUCUUACUUCUGCCAUGGCUCUGGGCAGUUAGCUUCCCCAGGCCUCAGUUUUCACAUCUGUAAAAUGAGUUGAGGUCUGAAAUCUAUGACCCAGCAAGACCUCAAUGGUCUGGAGGAGAGGGCAGGAUCCUCCCCCAAGAUCUGUCUGCCCCCAGCUCCAGGACAACUGUAACAGCCCCGCUCCUCCAUGGGGGGUCAUGACAUCCAGCCCCCUGCCUCUGCCUCCCAGGUCACCAGAUCUUGGGUGUCCGAGGGAGGGGCGGUUCCGGUCACCACGUUUGAUUGCUCUUCUCUUGGCGCUGAAAGGACAAGGACCUGGCUCCGGGGGCCUUCUUGGGCACUGCCAGGCGGGGCGAAGCCGCCGGGCACCUGAGGUCCCUUUGGGCUCGGACAAUAGGCCAUUGUGGGCAUCAAGUUUGGCUGGGGAUGAAAGCGCCCGCCAGGGGGCAGCACAGCCACACACACCGACGGCUCCGAACAGCGGGACUCUGUUCCUUUGUUUCCAAUUAAAAUUCCACCUUCGGAGGGUCUGUGGGAGGGCUGUGCCCUGCCUUCCGUCUGUGGCAGGAGCGGCGGGCUCGGAACCCCUUGUGGGGCGUAGAGGAGGAGGGCUCCCAGCAGCCCCCAGAGUUCUCCCAACAGCCCCUAGAGCUCUCCCAGCAGCCCCCAAAGCUCUCCCAACAGCCCCUGAGGCUCUCCCAGCAGCCCCAGAGCUCUCCCACGCCCAGGCUCUCCCAACAGCCCCUAGAGCUCUCCCAGCAGCCCCUGAGAGCUCUCCCAACAGCCCCUAGAGCUCUCCCAGCAGCCCCUAGAGCUCUCCCAACAGCCCCCAGAGCUCUCCCAGCAGCCCCCAGAGCUCUCCCAGCAGCCCCUGAGAGCUCUCCCAACAGCCCCCAGAGCUCUCCCAACAACCCCCCUAACUCUCCCAACAACCCCUUAAGACUCUCCCAACCCCAA
rnacentral:lncRNA from 1 species